rnacentral:rRNA from 1 species
GAUGAACGCUGGCGGCGUGCCUAAUACAUGCAAGUCGAGCGAACGGACGAGAAGCUUGCUUCUCUGAUGUUAGCGGCGGACGGGUGAGUAACACGUGGAUAACCUACCUAUAAGGCUGGGAUAACUUCGGGAAACCGGAGCUAAUACCGGAUAAUAUUUUGAACCGCAUGGUUCAAAAGUGAAAGACGGUCUUGCUGUCACUUAUAGAUGGAUCCGCGCUGCAUUAGCUAGUUGGUAAGGUAACGGCUUACCAAGGCAACGAUGCAUAGCCGACCUGAGAGGGUGAUCGGCCACACUGGAACUGAGACACGGUCCAGACUCCUACGGGAGGCAGCAGUAGGGAAUCUUCCGCAAUGGGCGAAAGCCUGACGGAGCAACGCCGCGUGAGUGAUGAAGGUCUUCGGAUCGUAAAACUCUGUUAUUAGGGAAGAACAUAUGUGUAAGUAACUGUGCACAUCUUGACGGUACCUAAUCAGAAAGCCACGGCUAACUACGUGCCAGCAGCCGCGGUAAUACGUAGGUGGCAAGCGUUAUCCGGAAUUAUUGGGCGUAAAGCGCGCGUAGGCGGUUUUUUAAGUCUGAUGUGAAAGCCCACGGCUCAACCGUGGAGGGUCAUUGGAAACUGGAAAACUUGAGUGCAGAAGAGGAAAGUGGAAUUCCAUGUGUAGCGGUGAAAUGCGCAGAGAUAUGGAGGAACAUCAGUGGCGAAGGCGACUUUCUGGUCUGUAACUGACGCUGAUGUGCGAAAGCGUGGGGAUCAAACAGGAUUAGAUACCCUGGUAGUCCACGCCGUAAACGAUGAGUGCUAAGUGUUAGGGGGUUUCCGCCCCUUAGUGCUGCAGCUAACGCAUUAAGCACUCCGCCUGGGGAGUACGACCGCAAGGUUGAAACUCAAAGGAAUUGACGGGGACCCGCACAAGCGGUGGAGCAUGUGGUUUAAUUCGAAGCAACGCGAAGAACCUUACCAAAUCUUGACAUCCUUUGACAACUCUAGAGAUAGAGCUUUCCCCUUCGGGGGACAAAGUGACAGGUGGUGCAUGGUUGUCGUCAGCUCGUGUCGUGAGAUGUUGGGUUAAGUCCCGCAACGAGCGCAACCCUUAAGCUUAGUUGCCAUCAUUAAGUUGGGCACUCUAAGUUGACUGCCGGUGACAAACCGGAGGAAGGUGGGGAUGACGUCAAAUCAUCAUGCCCCUUAUGAUUUGGGCUACACACGUGCUACAAUGGACAAUACAAAGGGCAGCGAAACCGCGAGGUCAAGCAAAUCCCAUAAAGUUGUUCUCAGUUCGGAUUGUAGUCUGCAACUCGACUACAUGAAGCUGGAAUCGCUAGUAAUCGUAGAUCAGCAUGCUACGGUGAAUACGUUCCCGGGUCU